GAACAAGAAGAAGAAAAAAUAAAAAGAAGGGGGAAAAGAAAGGAAAAAAUAUGAAUGGAAAACAAAGGAAACACCAAACAACAACAACGACGCGAAGAGGGGUGGUCUUUUUUCUACGGUUUCUUUUUUCUUUUCCUUUCUUUUCUCCGGAUCUUUUUGCGCUCCCCUCCCCACUCCCCAUUCCAGUCCUCUCGUUCAUUUCAUCCGUUGUGGUCGUUUCUUUUCUAUCUUAAAAAAACAAAAAAAAUGU
rnacentral:rRNA from 1 species